AGAUUGAACGCUGGCGGCAUGCCUUACACAUGCAAGUCGAACGGCAGCACGGGAGCAAUCCUGGUGGCGAGUGGCGAACGGGUGAGUAAUACAUCGGAACGUGCCCAAUCGUGGGGGAUAACGCAGCGAAAGCUGUGCUAAUACCGCAUAAGAUCUACGGAUGAAAGCAGGGGAUCGCAAGACCUUGCGCGAAUGGAGCGGCCGAUGGCAGAUUAGGUAGUUGGUGAGGUAAAGGCUCACCAAGCCUUCGAUCUGUAGCUGGUCUGAGAGGACGACCAGCCACACUGGGACUGAGACACGGCCCAGACUCCUACGGGAGGCAGCAGUGGGGAAUUUUGGACAAUGGGCGAAAGCCUGAUCCAGCAUGCGCGUGCAGGAUGAAGCCUUCGGUUGUAAACGUGCUUUGUACGGAACGAAAGUCUACUUUCUAAUAAAGAGGAUCAGUAGACGGUACCGUAAGAAUAAGACACCGCUAACUACGUACG
rnacentral:rRNA from 1 species